ACGAACGCUGGCGGCACGCUUAACACAUGCAAGUCGAACGAGAGAAGAGGAGCUUGCUUUUCUGAUCUAGUGGCGGACGGGUGAGUAACACGUGAGCAAUCUGCCUUUCAGAGGGGGAUACCGAUUGGAAACGAUCGUUAAUACCGCAUAACAUAAUUGAACCGCAUGAUUUGAUUAUCAAAGAUUUAUCGCUGAAAGAUGAGCUCGCGUCUGAUUAGCUAGUUGGUAAGGUAACGGCUUACCAAGGCGACGAUCAGUAGCCGGACUGAGAGGUUGAUCGGCCACAUUGGGACUGAGACACGGCCCAGACUCCUACGGGAGGCAGCAGUGGGGAAUAUUGCACAAUGGAGGAAACUCUGAUGCAGCGAUGCCGCGUGAGGGAAGAAGGUUUUAGGAUUGUAAACCUCUGUCUUCAGGGACGAAAAAAGACGGUACCUGAGGAGGAAGCUCCGGCUAACUACGUGCCAGCAGCCGCGGUAAUACGUAGGGAGCGAGCGUUGUCCGGAAUUACUGGGUGUAAAGGGAGCGUAGGCGGGAUCGCAAGUCAGAUGUGAAAACUAUGGGCUUAACCCAUAAACUGCAUUUGAAACUGUGGUUCUUGAGUGAAGUAGAGGUAAGCGGAAUUCCUAGUGUAGCGGUGAAAUGCGUAGAUAUUAGGAGGAACAUCAGUGGCGAAGGCGGCUUACUGGGCUUUAACUGACGCUGAGGCUCGAAAGUGUGGGUAGCAAACAGGAUUAGAUACCCUGGUAGUCCACACCGUAAACGAUGAUUACUAGGUGUUGGAGGAUUGACCCCUUCAGUGCCGCAGUUAACACAAUAAGUAAUCCACCUGGGGAGUACGACCGCAAGGUUGAAACUCAAAGGAAUUGACGGGGGCCCGCACAAGCAGUGGAGUAUGUGGAUUAAUUCGAAGCAACGCGAAGAACCUUACCAGGUCUUGACAUCGUAUGCAUAGCUCAGAGAUGAGUGAAAUCUCUUCGGAGACAUAUAGACAGGUGGUGCAUGGUUGUCGUCAGCUCGUGUCGUGAGAUGUUGGGUUAAGUCCCGCAACGAGCGCAACCCUUACUGUUAGUUGCUACGCAAGAGCACUCUAGCAGGACUGCCGUUGACAAAACGGAGGAAGGUGGGGAUGACGUCAAAUCAUCAUGCCCCUUAUGACCUGGGCCUCACACGUACUACAAUGGCUGUCAACAGAGGGAUGCAAAGCCGCGAGGUGGAGCGAACCCCUAAAAGCAGUCUUAGUUCGGAUUGUAGGCUGCAACCCGCCUACAUGAAGUCGGAAUUGCUAGUAAUCGCAGAUCAGCAUGCUGCGGUGAAUACGUUCCCGGGCCUUGUACACACCGCCCGUCACGCCAUGGGAGUCGGUAACACCCGAAGCCUGUAGUCUAACCGCAAGGAGGACGCAGUCGAAGGUGGGAUUGAUGACUGGGGUG
rnacentral:rRNA from 1 species